UACGGGGGGGGCAAGCGUUGUUCGGAAUUACUGGGCGUAAAGGGUGCGUAGGCGGUCUGUUAAGUUGGAUGUGAAAACUCUGGGCUCAACCCAGAGCCUGCAUCCAAAACUAGCAGGCUAGAGUUCUGGAGGGGGUAGCGGAAUUCCUGGUGUAGCGGUGAAAUGCGUAGAUAUCAGGAGGAACACCGAUUGCGAAGGCAGCUAACUAGGCUGUAAC
rnacentral:rRNA from 1 species